rnacentral:rRNA from 1 species
AAACUGGGAGACUUGAGUGCAGAAGAGGACAGUGGAACUCCAUGUGUAGCGGUGAAAUGCGUAGAUAUAUGGAAGAACACCAGUGGCGAAGGCGGCUGUCUGGUCUGCAACUGACGCUGAGGCUCGAAAGCAUGGGUAGCGAACAGGAUUAGAUACCCUGGUAGUCCAUGCCGUAAACGAUGAUUACUAAGUGUUGGAGGGUUUCCCGCCCUUCAGUGCUGCAGCUAACGCAUUAAGUAAUCCGCCUGGGGAGUACGACCGCAAGGUUGAAACUCAAAAGAAUUGACGGGGGCCCGCACAAGCGGUGGAGCAUGUGGUUUAAUUUGAAGCUACGCGAAGAACCUUACCAGGUCUUGACAUCUUCUGACAGUCUAAGAGAUUAGAGGUUCCCUUCGGGGACAGAAUGACAGGUGGUGCAUGGUUGUCGUCAGCUCGUGUCGUGAGAUGUUGGGUUAAGUCCCGCAACGAGCGCAACCCUUAUUACUAGUUGCCAGCAUUAAGUUGGGCACUCUAGUGAGACUGCCGGUGACAAACCGGAGGAAGGUGGGGACGACGUCAAAUCAUCAUGCCCCUUAUGACCUGGGCUACACACGUGCUACAAUGGAUGGUACAACGAGUCGCGAGACCGCGAGGUUAAGCUAAUCUCUUAAAACCAUUCUCAGUUCGGACUGUAGGCUGCAACUCGCCUACACGAAGUCGGAAUCGCUAGUAAUCGCGGAUCAGCAUGCCGCGGUGAAUACGUUCCCGGGCCUUGUACACACCGCCCGUCACACCAUGAGAGUUUGUAACACCCAAAGCCGGUGGGGUAACCUUUUAGGAGCUAGCCGUCUAAGGUGGGACAGAUGAUUAGGGUGAAGUCGUAACA